rnacentral:lncRNA from 1 species
CUCACUCUCUUAAAACACCUAUUUUACCUUCCCCUUAAUCCUAGACAUAGAAAAUCAGAAGAGCUUACAAACCUGGGCGCCUUCUCCAAAAGCUCUCAAUUAUUUUAUUUUAGCUUCGACUAGACAAAGCCAGAAUCCAGAACUUUCAAAUUUAUGUAGAUCCAAAAACAAUUCAAAGUGAAGUUGUCGUUGAUUUCUACGGAUUCGAGAAGAUUGUUUCACCCAUUGUUUUCGGUUUUUUGAAGCUUGAAUAAUAUGUGAUGUUGAUGUUUCUUCCGUGAUAAGUUGCUCAACUCCGAUUUUCUGUCUUCCGAAAUUUGUUUGGCUCCUCUAAGGUUAUUUCCAGUUGUUGAGGUACUUACACUGAUUUUAGAAUGUAGUUACUGUUUUGACAUUCCUAUGAUAUAAAGUUUCUUGAAUUUGUUCUCUUGCUGGUAGAUGUCUUAGUUUUAAUAGAUUUGAUUCAGUAAAAUAAAUGACAUGAUUAUAAUUAUUUAUUAUUUUUGUGAAGUUGAAAAUGCUAUUACGAUGUUGAGAAUUAUAUGUCCUAUAAAAAUAUGGAAUUUUUAUUGCUAAUCAAUUCGCGAAAUAUGAAGUAGCUAUCGAUUAU